GAUCAUGGCUCAGAUUGAACGCUGGCGGCGUGCUUAACACAUGCAAGUCGCGCGUGAAAGGACUUCGGUCCGAGUAAAGCGGCGCACGGGUGAGUAACGCGUGGAUGAUCUACCCAUGAGUUAGGAAUAACGGCUGGAAACGGUCGCUAAUACCAAAUACGCUCCGAUUUCAACUUCGGGGGAAAGGUGGCCUCUGCUUGCAAGCUACUGCUCAUGGAUGAGUCCGCGUCCCAUUAGCUAGUUGGUGGGGUAACGGCCCACCAAGGCGACGAUGGGUAGCCGGUCUGAGAGGAUGACCGGCCACACUGGGACUGGAACACGGCCCAGACUCCUACGGGAGGCAGCAGUGGGGAAUAUUGCGCAAUGGGCGAAAGCCUGACGCAGCGACGCCGCGUGAGGGAAUGAAGGUCCUCGGAUCGUAAACCUCUGUCAGGAGGGAAGAACCGCCACGGUGCUAAUCAGCCGUGGUCUGACGGUACCUCCAAAGGAAGCACCGGCUAACUCCGUGCCAGCCGCGGC
rnacentral:rRNA from 1 species